rnacentral:rRNA from 1 species
UACAGAGGUCCCGAGCGUUGUUCGGAUUCAUUGGGCGUAAAGGGUGCGUAGGCGGUCUGCUAAGUUUGAUGUGGAAUCCCGGGGCUCAACCCUGGAAUUGCAUUGAAUACUGGUGGACUAGAGUACUGGAGAGGAAACUGGAAUUUACGGUGUAGCAGUGAAAUGCGUAGAGAUCGUAAGGAAGACCAGUGGCGAAGGCGAGUUUCUGGACAGUAACUGACGCUGAGGCACGAAGGCCAGGGGAGCAAACGGG